CCUGUGUGAGGUCUGAAAGGCCGAGGAGCGAGACCCUGUGCUGAAACUCCUUGUAGGCUGACAGCAGGACAAGAACAUCAACAUGUAAGUCACAACCCAGUCCAGUGCACACAGAGGCUUGAGGACAUACUGGGAGAGAAGACACAUGGUUACUUCACUCUGGGCCGUAUGAGAAGCCACUAAAGGUGGUGAGGAUCUGGGUCACUUGGGAGAUCAGAGGCAGAUCAAAGGAACCUCGGGCACAACAUGAGCACUAGCUGCCCUGCUACAGGUUCAACAGCAAUAUGGCAACUGCUCGUGAGUGCAAUCUCUGAAGCGGAGACCAGCAUGCCUCCUUUCUCUGUGAGAUGACAGGCUUGUUACGGGGAGGGAGCUGACACACA
rnacentral:lncRNA from 1 species